rnacentral:rRNA from 1 species
UACGUAGGGUGCGAGCGUUGCCCGGAUUUAUUGGGCGUAAAGGGCGCGCAGGCGGCUCGGCACGUCCGUUGUGAAAUCGCCCGGCUCAACUGGGCGGGGUCAGCGGAUACGGUCGAGCUUGAGCAAGCUAGGGGGCAAUGGAAUUCCCGGUGUAGUGGUGGAAUGCGUAGAGAUCGGGAAGAACAUCAGUGGCGAAGGCGGCCUGCUGGGCUGUUGCUGACGCUGAGGCGCGACAGCGUGGGGAGCAAACAGG